GUUCUCCCAACGUAAGCCCAGC
rnacentral:miRNA from 1 species